rnacentral:lncRNA from 1 species
GAUAUCUGCGCCAUCUGCUUGCCCGCAGUUGUUUAAGGAUGACUUGAGGUCUCACCAGAUAGAUACAGAGAUAAUAAGAGUGUUCAUGAGCAGGGGGAAAGGCAGAGGAAGAAGCAGACUCUCCACUGAGCUAGGAGCCCAACGUGGGACUUGAUCCCAGGACCCAGAGAUCAUGACCUGAUCGAAGGCAGACGCUUAACCAUCUGAGCCACUCAGGUAGGUGCCCCUAAGAGAGGUGAUCUUAUGUAGGGUUUUUUAAAAAUUAUUUUUGUUAACAUAUAAUGUAUUAUAUGUUUUUUUGCCCCAGGGGUACAGGUGUGUGAAUCGUUAGGCUUACACAAUUCACAGCACUCACCAUAGCACAUGCUGUCCCCAAUGUUCGUAACCCAG